rnacentral:rRNA from 1 species
GAUGAACGCUAGCGGGAGGCCUAACACAUGCAAGCCGAGCGGUAUUGUUUCUUCGGAAAUGAGAGAGCGGCGUACGGGUGCGUAACACGUGUGCAACCUGCCUUUAUCUGGGGGAUAGCCUUUCGAAAGGAAGAUUAAUGCUCCAUAAUAUAUUGAACGGCAUCGUUUAAUAUUGAAAGCUCCGGCGGAUAGAGAUGGGCACGCGCAAGAUUAGCUAGUUGGUGAGGUAACGGCUCACCAAGGCGAUGAUCUUUAGGGGGCCUGAGAGGGUGAUCCCCCACACUGGUACUGAGACACGGACCAGACUCCUACGGGAGGCAGCAGUGAGGAAUAUUGGUCAAUGGGUGCAAGCCUGAACCAGCCAUCCCGCGUGAAGGACGACUGCCCUAUGGGUUGUAAACUUCUUUUGUAUAGGGAUAAACCUACCCUCGGGAGGGUAGCUGAAGGUACUAUACGAAUAAGCACCGGCUAACUCCGUG